rnacentral:rRNA from 1 species
UACGUAGGCAGCAAGCGUUGUUCGGAGUUACUGGGCGUAAAGGGUGUGUAGGCGGUUCUUUAAGUGUGGGGUGAAAUCUCCCGGCUCAACUGGGAGGGUGCGCCGAAUACUGAGGGACUAGAGUACGGGAGAGGAAAGUGGAAUUCCUGGUGUAGCGGUGAAAUGCGUAGAUAUCAGGAGGAACACCGGUGGUGUAGACGGCUUUCUGGACCGUAACUGACGCUGGGACACGAAAGCGUGGGGAGCAAACAGG